UACGUAGGGUGCGGGCGUUGUCCGGAAUUACUGGGCGUAAAGAGCUCGUAGGUGGUUUGUCGCGUUGUUCGUGAAAACUCACAGCUUAACUGUGGGCGUGCGGGCGAUACGGGCAGACUGGAGUACUGCAGGGGAGACUGGAAUUCCUGGUGUAGCGGUGGAAUGCGCAGAUAUCAGGAGGAACACCGGUGGCGAAGGCGGGUCUCUGGGCCGAUACUGACGCUGAGGAGCGAAAGCGUGGGGAUCAAACAGG
rnacentral:rRNA from 1 species